GACAGAGGGUGCAAACGUUGCUCGGAAUCACUGGGCGUAAAGGGCGUGUAGGCGGGAAGGAAAAGUCAGAUGUGAAAUCCCCAGGCUCAACCUGGGAACUGCAUUUUGAAAACUCCCCUUUUCUUUGAGUACCCGGAGAGGAAAAGUGGAAUUCCUGGUGUAGAGGUGAAAUUCGUAGAUAUCAGGAGGAACACCAGUGGCGAAGGCGGCUUUCUGGACGGUAACUGACGCUGAGACGCGAAAGCGUGGGGAGCAAACAGG
rnacentral:rRNA from 1 species